AAUAGAUACCCCGGUAGUCCACGCCGUAAACGUUGGGCGCUAGGUGUGGGGUCCUUCCACGGAUUCCGCGCCGCAGCUAACGCAUUAAGCGCCCCGCCUGGGGAGUACGGCCGCAAGGCUAAAACUCAAAGGAAUUGAUGGGGGCCCGCACAAGCGGCGGAGCAUGUUGCUUAAUUCGACGCAACGCGAAGAACCUUACCAAGGCUUGACAUCGCCGGAAAACCAUCAGAGAUGGUGGGUCCUUUUGGGCCGGUGACAGGUGGUGCAUGGCUGUCGUCAGCUCGUGUCGUGAGAUGUUGGGUUAAGUCCCGCAACGAGCGCAACCUUCGUUCCAUGUUGCCAGCACUUCGGGUGGGGACUCAUGGGAGACCGCCGGGGUCAACUCGGAGGAAGGUGGGGAUGACGUCAAGUCACCAUGCCCCUUAUGUCUUGGGCUGCAAACAUGCUACAAUGGCCGGUACAGAGGGCUGCGAUACCGUGAGGUGGAGCGAAUCCCGUUAAAGCCGGUCUCAGUUCGGAUCGAAGUCUGCAACUCGACUUCGU
rnacentral:rRNA from 1 species